UCAGACCGGGGCAGAUGCAACAAUGAGGAUCUUUCAGAGCAGGGCAGAUGCAACAAUGAGGAUCUUUCAGACCGGGGCAGAUGCAACAAUGAGGAUCUUUCAGAGCAGGGCAGCUGCAGCAAUGAUGAUCUUUCAGAGCAGGGCAGAGAAAAUAAAAGGAAGAAAAGCGGGUUUAAUUAUAACUGAAACAUGAUGUCAGUCAACUAAUUUCUUUCGUUAAAAGACAGGUGCUGCUGAUAACACUGCCAUCGUCAUCAAGGAUGUUGGAAUUAUUUUGGUAUGAACGUGCAAAAGUAACCUACUUUUUUUAAGUGAUUUGUUUGACAAUAAGAUGAAAACAUCAUGACUGAUUGUGGUCAUGCUACAUUAAAAGUACAUUUUUACAGUUAAAUUACAUGUCUUUACUAUAAAACCCAUAGGAGGGGGGGAUGGUGGGGGAAGCUCAGACUGACCUCUGCCUGGGUCCUCCAAAUCACUAAGCCCGCCCCUGUACAGAGGAAUAUUUUACAGGCCCUCUGAUGGCCCAGUGAUACAGAGGAAUAGUUACAGGCCCUCUGAUGGCCCAUGUGAUACUCCGGACCUAGUGUUUUCCCAACCCAGUCCUAGGUUCCCCCUUAACCGUUUCACAUAUUUGAUCUAUUCCAACACUAGCUCACCAUAACAGGAUCAGGAUGGUGCUUUCCAGUGCUGCAUUAGACUGUGUGUUAUUUACUAGGAAAAUGGAUUCAGUUUACAGAACAGCAAAUGGAUACCAACAUAUUUGGCAGAGAGGUACACCAUUGCAAUAAAAUACAUGGAGUUGUAUUCAAAUUCUAUCACUAGUUCUAUCACUAUUCUAUCACUAUUCUAUCACUAUUCUAUCACUAUUCUAUCACUAUUCUAUCACUAGUUCUAUCACUAUUCUAUCACUAUUCUAUCACUAGUUCUAUCACUAGUUCUAUCACUAUUCUAUCACUGUUCUAUCACUAGUUCUAUCACUAUUCUAUCACUAUUCUAUCACUAGUUCUAUCACUAUUCUAUCACUAUUCUAUCACUAUUCUAUCACUAUUCUAUCACUAGUUCUAUCACUAUUCUAUCACUAUUCUAUCACUAUUUGAAAGACGCUGCAUUUAGUUGAGAAGCUGCUAUCUUGCUACUCUUGUGCCUUUUGAGUAUUUCUCCACUUGGUCCUCCUAUCUGACCUCUGUGUUUUGUUAUUGCUAAAGGAAUUCCAAAGGUUUACUCAAUCUAUGAAGUCACCAACAACUGGUCAUUCCAC
rnacentral:lncRNA from 13 species